rnacentral:rRNA from 1 species
CCAACUCGUGAGGAAUAUAAGGUGUGACGCCUGCCCGGUGCUCGAAGGUUAAGAGGAUGCGUCAGUCGCAAGAUGAAGCGUUGAAUUGAAGCCCGAGUAAACGGCGGCCGUAACUAUAACGGUCCUAAGGUAGCGAAAUUCCUUGUCGGUUAAAUACCGACCUGCAUGAAUGGCGUAACGAGAUGGGAGCUGUCUCAACCAGAGAUUCAGUGAAAUUGUAGUGGAGGUGAAAAUUCCUCCUACCCGCGGCAAGACGGAAAGACCCCGUGGACCUUUACUACAACUUAGCACUGCUAAUGGGAAUAUCAU